UGAGUGCGAGCUUCUACGGAAGCGAAGUUGGUGACGUCAAGCUUCCAAGAAAAGCCCUAUACCCGUUAAGGCAUGAUUACCUGUACCCGAAACCGACACAGGUGGGGUGGUAGAGAAUACCGAGGGGCGCGAGGUAACUCUCUCUAAGGAACUCGGCAAAAUGACCCCGUAACUUCGGGAGAAGGGGUGCCAGCGCGAGCUGGUCGCAGUGAAUAGGCCAGGCGACUGUUUACCAAAAACACAGGUCUCCGCUAAGUCGCAAGACGAUGUAUGGGGGCUGACGCCUGCCCAGUGCCGGAAGGUUAAAGAAGUUGGUCAGCGCAAGCGAAGCUAACGACUGAAGCCCCGGUGAACGGCGGCCGUAACAAUAACGGUCCUAAGGUAGCGAAAUUCCUUGUCGGGUAAGUUCCGACCCGCACGAAAGGCGUAACGAUCUGGGCGCUGUCUCGGAGAGAGGCUCGGCGAAAUAGAAUUGUCUGUGAAGAUGCGGACUACGUGCACCCGGACAGAAAGACCCUAUGAAGCUUUACUGUAGCUUGGUAUUGUGCUCGGGCUCGCAAUGCGCAGGAUAGGUGGGAGGCUUUGAUCCAUUGCUUGUGGGUGAUGGUGAGCCACUGGUGAGAUACCACUCUUUGCGAGCUAGGGUUCUAACGGUUACCCGUCAUCCGGGAACCGGACAGUAUCUGGCGGGCAGUUUGACUGGGGCGGUCGCCUCCUAAAAGGUAACGGAGGCGCGCAAAGGUUUGCUCAGGCUGGUUGGAAAUCAGCCGACGAGUGUAAAAGCAGAAGCAAGCUUGACUGUGAGACCUACAAGUCGAACAGGGAGGAAACUCGGCUUUAGUGAUCCGACGGUUCUGAGUGGAAGGGCCGUCGCUCAACGGAUAAAAGUUACUCUAGGAUAACAGGCUGAUCUCCCCCAAGAGUUCACAUCGACGGGGAGGUUUGGCACCUCGAUGUCGGCUCAUCGCAACCUGGGGCUGAAGUCGGUCCCAAGGGUUGGGCUGUUCGCCCAUUAAAGCGGUACGCGAGCUGGGUUCAGAACGUCGUGAGACAGUUCGGUCCAUAUCCGGUGCAUGCGCAGGAAUAUUGAGAGGAUUUCUCCCUAGUACGAGAGGACCGGGAGGAACGCACCUCUGGUGUACCAGUUAUCGUGCCAACGGUAAACGCUGGGUAGCCAUGUGCGGAGUGGAUAACCGCUGAAAGCAUCUAAGUGGGAAGCCCACCUCAAGAUGAGUAUUCCCAUGGCUUAAGCCAGUAAGGGCACGGGAAGAACACCCGUUGAUAGGCUCUAUGUGGAAGCGCAGUAAUGCGUGAAGCAGAGGAGUACUAAUAGACCGAGGGCUUGAGC
rnacentral:rRNA from 1 species